AACGAACGCUGGCGGCAGGCUUAACACAUGCAAGUCGAGCGCCCCGCAAGGGGAGCGGCAGACGGGUGCGUAACGCGUGGGAAUCUACCCAUCUCUACGGAAUAACGCAUGGAAACGUGUUCUAAUACCGUAUACGUCCUUAGGGCUAAAGAUUUGUCGAUGAUGGAUGAGCCGGCGUUGGAUUAGCUAGUUGGUGGGGUAAAGGCCUACCAAGGCGACGAUCCGUACCUGGUCUGGGAGUAUAAUCAGCCACAUUGGGACUGAGACACGGCCCAGAAUCAUACGGGAGGAAGCAGUGGGGAAUAUUGGACAAUGGGCGCAAGCCUGAUCCAGCCAUGCCGCGUGAGUGAUGAAGGCCCUAGGGUUGUAAAGCUCUUUCACCGGUGAAGAUAAUGACGGUAACCGGAGAAGAAGCCCCGGCUAACUUCGUGCCAGCCGCCGCAGUAAAAC
rnacentral:rRNA from 1 species